rnacentral:lncRNA from 1 species
UUUUUUUUGUAUAAAGACUAAACUUGAUUUUUCACAAUUCAAGUAUAUUUUGGAGGUAAUUCAAUGAUUUAAGAAGGAGAUAUUAGCAUUGAAAGUUCAACAUUUGGAUUGAAGUAAGAGGUCGGCCAAUAUACGAGCAAAAUUUAGGAUUGAUCUUCUAUUUGGUAAUUUUGAUCUUCUUCAAAUUUUGUGUGCUUAUUUCUAUCCUAGUUUUUGAAAGGUGUGUAAAAUCCUAAGCAAAAUCAAUGAUAUAAUUGAUAGAUAUUAAGGUUUUAAACUGCCCCAAGAUUAUGUUAAUUUGAUUAGGAUUUAUUUUAGGAUUUAAGAAUUGAUUAAGAUUUACGGUUUGUUUAUGAUUUAGUUAAAAUUUGACUUAGAUUUUAAAUAAGGACUAGUAGAAUUUUAACUAAGAUUAAAGUAAGAUUUAUUUAAAAAAAAUUUAAAGAUGUAUUUUGGAUUUUAUUUUAAUACUUCUUUUAAAUUUAUUUAGGAUUUCUUCAUGCUUCUUUUGUAAUUCCUUUGAAGUUUGUUUGGAUUGGUUAAAUUUUUUAUAGAAU